UCAGAUCUCGCGGUCCUCGAGUUCCUAACCCGCCGCCGAGACCUUCCUCUUCUACCUCGCCGGCGUCACCUUCGAGUGUUGUUUCCAGUAAUGGCGAAACAGAGCAACCGCUUCCGCCGCAGGUGAAUGUAGCACCUCCACCGCCUCCGCCUCCCCCGAGGAAACUUGCUUCCAAAGCAGCAGCAGCAGCACCUCCGCCUCCCCCGCCACCGCCUAGGGGGCUGAGGGCGGCUCCGUCGAAGGUGAGGAGAGUGCCGGAGGUGGUAGAGUUUUACCACUCGUUGAUGCGGAGAGAUUCGCAGUCGCGGAGGGAGUCGAGCUCCGGCGGCGGUGCGGAGGUG
rnacentral:lncRNA from 1 species